ACAUAUAUUAGCCCUUCUUUAUCCAUCACUGGUGUCUCUUUAAAUCCUGAAUCGAGGCUUGGAAUGACUUCCACUGGCAUCAGAUUGAGUAACCCCUUCGGUAAGAUUUGGUUAACCACUUCCCUGCUAUUGAAGGAUAGGCACAGCUUUUGAGCCUCCCCUGCAGAGACACCUGGAAUAGGUCACAUAAUCCAACCUGAGGGACUAUCUGGAGCAGUAUGAGGGAGACAAGUCCAUCUAGGCACCGUAAGAAUCACAAUAAUGUGAUUGAAGAUACCUUCAACAGCUGCUGCAACAGGAAGACUGCUCAGUAUUUGUCUCCCUUGGGAUGACUCUUGUAGGAUCUAAUCUGCAUGAAAUCUGCCUUUGACUACAGCUGGCAAACUGCUAAAUACAAAAUCAUGGUUAAUAAAGGAUCAGACCAAUUUGACUCAUCAUUGUAAAAAUAAUAAAAUUUAAUAUUUAAAUAAUAGUGAUGAAACUUUGUUUUGUGUCGUCUAAAAUAUUCACAGAAGAGUUAAAAUGAAGGGUAAAAUUCUGUGAUGUAUAGCUGAGUGUAAUUCUCAGAAAUGUGAAUUAAUGUAAAAUUGUUUUGUUCAGAAACCAGAGAUCCAGGGCAUGCUGAAAACUGUGGAUAUGAGACAGUACAGUAUAAAAUAAAUGAGCAACUAUAUUGAGGGCAUUUGUCUUAUCAAUUUUUCAUCAAAAAUAUUACCAGAAGCUGCUACAGAACUUAGAGAAUUUUUGUAAGAGUAUAGUAGAGCUGGAUGUUGAAUCUAUGUUAAAUUUCCUCCUGUCUUCAAGGAAGAUUUAUUGUAGUAAAGCAUUCUCAAUUUUAUUUACCUGUUUUCAUUCCUUCAUAAUCACUUUAAAGAGGAUAAAAGAAUAAAUAGUUGUAUUUCACACAAAAGACCAAAACAUCUUAUGCUUUACAAUCACGUAAAACCUCCCUCCCCAAUGAAAUAACUUCCAUACACAUUUGGUAAACUCUUUUUCUAUUUACAUCAGCAGUAUGGUCCCAGCUGAACUCAGUGCAGUCAGAAAUACACUCAAUGAAUCUUCUUCCUUUAGGCAAUUUCUUAGAUUUUCUUUAGCAUGUUAAGAGUGAAAAUUGUUUAUAAGAAUUAUGUACAAAUUUUAAUGAGAUGUAUUUUUAAAAUGUUUACUUUAUGCAAAGCAUUUUGCCUUGUUUAGCAAAAGAUUUCUUAAUUUAAAAAAAAUUUCUAGCCAUGUUUUUGAUAAAUACAGAUUUCAACACUUC